ACGUAGGGGACGAGCGUUGUCCGGAUUUACUGCGCGUAAAGGGCGCGUAGGCGGUCAUUUAAGUCAGCUGUGAAAUGGUUUGGCUUAACCGGAUCAUGCGGUUGAAACUGGAUGACUGGAGUGCUGGAGAGGCAAGUGGAAUUUCCAGUGUAGCGGUGAAAUGCGGAGAUAUUAGGAAGAAGACCGGUGGCGAAGGCAACCUGCUGAACAGUAACUGACGGUGAGGCGGGAAAGCCAGGGGAGCAAACGG
rnacentral:rRNA from 1 species